AACGUAGGCGCGGGUCAAAGUAAUGUAUCUGUUCUUAAGAGCUUAAUAUCUGAUACGGGUUGGAUUUGGACCAAAGACAUUAAACUUAGUUUUGGAAGUUGGCGGAGUGCUUGAAGCCUGCUUCACCUCCGCCGCGGGUAGGCCCGAUAUUGCACUAUCUUCGGGAGUUCUGGUCUACGGAC